AGAUUUGGUGUCUUUAAGUUAAAGUGAGAAAUAAUCGAUUGUAGACUGCAUACGUCGUAUGCAACUACGCAUGAGUAUGAUUUAAGAACGUCAAAACGCAAAGAUCAAAUAUUUGAGCUUCAAUCUUUCGACGACCUUUCCCGCCGCGGAGAAAAACCAGUAGGGACGAAGAUUUACGCAUACGUAGCUUAUUUCAACAAGAAAUACAUGAGAUAUAUGCAUGCAAGUACUCAUAUAUAUACGUGCUUUACCGAUUCGAUGAUACAGCCGACGAAAUGGUAUCUGAUUAGUUUACGUUCCGAUAUUUUUAAUCCUUUACGCAGUCUUGCAGUCUACGCUUCUAUUUGCUAUUUUUCAAGAUUAUUUAUUAUCGGUCGAACGGAAAUAUCUUUGUGUGCGCGAAUAUGUAUUAGAAAGGUGAAUAUAUUAAAAUAUUCAUUAUUUUCUUACUACAUGUAUUUUAUAUCUCGAGUGUCAACGAAUUUGCUAAUUAUAUGUGAUGUUUUUUAUACAAGAAGUUAGACAAAAAUUAAUCAUAUAUUGUAUUAAUCAAUCAUCGUUUUCUAAAUAUUCGGUCUUUCGUUCUUCAAACUUCAAGUUUUAAAACGUGCAAAAGUUUACGGUUUCCAUAAACGAAGAUGGAUAUAUAAUGUAUUCUGAAAAUAGAUCUGUCGAUAGUACAACGAUGAUCGGAAAGAUAGUUACUUUUAAAAUAUUUAUUCGUUCGAACACGGUUCUUACAUCGUACAGUGAAAAUCUGCUUAAAAGUUGUUCAACUCUCCUAUUCAAUGCAGUGAUUUAUAACGCGUAUUGUGCAUUAUCAUUUAAUUGUUAGAUCAAUCAAAGGAUAAAUCGGUAUUCAUUGAAGUUUGUUUAAAUAAAUUACGUAGUUCCGAAAAAUUAUACGUGGGUUUCUCAUCCUCGAAAGGACACAUUAAACAAGUCG